GGCAGAAACGUAAAGGAGCCAAACAAUAACAGGGCCGGCGGGCCUUUCAGACCAAGAGGCUGAGUCGGGCCCCGAGGGCAAAUACUUCUGGCUAGCACCGCUAGUGCUUCAGGCUUUUCUUGGAUUUUCUUCAUCUAGCAGGGUCGAGAAGCGGCUGGAAAAAAAAAGAAAUCACUCCAGGGACAAAGGUCCGGAAGUUGCGGGACCUUAGCAGCUAAGGCUCCCCGGAUCACCCCGAUCUCAUCCAGGAACGGAACCCAGGGUUUCAUUAGGAUGCUAUGGGGGGUCUUAAGUCUUAAGCUAUGAAUCUCGAAAAAUCUUAAA
rnacentral:lncRNA from 1 species